GCUGCGAAUGCAGGUGGAACUACAGACUCUUAAUCUCGUGGUCGCGGGUUCGAGUCCCGCCGGUCCCAAGUCAGGGGGACCGUAGCUCAGUGGUAGAGCACGACGUUUCACCCCUCCUUGUCGCAGCAAG
rnacentral:Y_RNA from 1 species